rnacentral:rRNA from 1 species
AAAGGAAUUGACGGGGGCCCGCACAAGCGGUGGAGCAUGUGGUUUAAUUCGAUGCAACGCGAAGAACCUUACCAGGUCUUGACAUCUGGCGGACCUUUAGGAAACUAGAGGGUGCCUUUUAGGAGCGCCAAGACAGGUGGUGCAUGGUUGUCGUCAGCUCGUGUCGUGAGAUGUUGGGUUAAGUCCCGCAACGAGCGCAACCCUUGCUAUUAGUUGCUAACAGGUAGAGCUGAGCACUCUAAUGGGACUGCCCGUGACAAGCGGGAGGAAGGUGGGGAUGACGUCAAAUCAUCAUGCCCUUUAUGAUCUGGGCUACACACGUGCUACAAUGGGUGGUACAGAGAGCAGCGAAGUUGCGAAGCGGAGCGAAUCUCAAAAAGCCAUUCACAGUUCGGAUUGUAGUCUGCAACUCGACUACAUGAAGUCGGAAUCGCUAGUAAUCGCGGAUCAGCAUGUCGCGGUGAAUGCGUUCCCGGGCCUUGCACACACCGCCCGU